UACGUAGGGUGCGAGCGUUAAUCGGAAUUACUGGGCGUAAAGCGUGCGUAGGCGGUUCUCCAAGUCCGUUGUGAAAGCCCCGGGCUCAACCUGGGAAUGGCAGUGGAAACUAGGGGACUGGAAUCUGGCAGAGGGGGGUGGAAUGCCGCGUGUAGCAGUGAAAUGCGUAGAUAUCGGAAGGAACAUCAGUGGCGAAAGCGGCUUCCUGGACCAGUACCGACGUUCAGGCACGAAAGCGUGGGGAGCAAACAGG
rnacentral:rRNA from 1 species